GGGUGCAUUAUAUUUUCUAUGAUUGGCGAUAGAUCAUUCAAGUUUCUGACCUAUCAGCUUUCGACGGUAGUGUAUUGGACUACCGUGGCAGUGACGGGUAACGGGGAAUUAGGGUUCGAUUCCGGAGAGGGAGCCUGAGAAACGGCUACCACAUCUAAGGAAGGCAGCAGGCGCGCAAAUUACCCAAUCCUGACUCAGGGAGGUAGUGACAAGAAAUAACAACACUGGAAAUUUUAUUUCUAGUGAUUGGAAUGAUGGGAAUCCAAACCCCUUUCAGAGUAACAAUUGGAGGGCAAGUCUGGUGCCAGCAGCCGCGGUAAUUCCAGCUCCAAUAGCGUAUAUUAAAGUUGUUGCAGUUAAAAAGCUCGUAGUUGGAUAUCUGCUGGAAGCAAUCAGUCCGCCCUUAUUAUAAGGGUGUGCACUUGAUGAAUUCUGGCAUGUUCUUCCUGAUAAGGAGGUGAUUUUGUUUCGUGCAAAAUCACCCUUGUUAGGUUAGCCGUUACUUUGAGAAAAUUAAAGUGUUUGAAGCAGGCUUAUUGCCUUGAAUACUGCAGCAUGGAAUAACAAUAUAGGAUUUCGGUUCUAUUUUGUUGGUUUUUAGAACUGGGAUAAUGAUUAAUAGGGACAGUUGGGGGCAUUCGUAUUUAACUGUCAGAGGUGAAAUUCUUAGAUUUGUUAAAGACGAACUACUGCGAAAGCAUUUGCCAAAGAUGUUUUCAUUAAUCAAGAACGAAAGUUAGGGGCUCGAAGACGAUCAGAUACCGUCGUAGUCUUAACCAUAAACUAUGCCGACUAGAGAUAGGAAAAUGUCAUUUUCUGACUUCUCCUGCACUAUUUGAAAAAAAAAAAAAAAA
rnacentral:rRNA from 1 species